rnacentral:snRNA from 1 species
AUCUGUUAUGUGUUAUGUUAUAUGCUCUUUUAGCAUUUUUCUAGCAGGAUUUCUGACUUUGGUCAAGCUAAG